UUGGAGGGAUUUGCAACACACAAAUGACUCUCUAUCUCUCUCGCAUAUGCCCUCCUCCGAUUAUCUCUCUCUCUCUCUCUCCUUAAUUCCCUGUCGCAGACCCAACCCCGAACCCCCUAUUGCUGUCUUCAUUUUCUCUCUUCCUCACUCCCUCUCUCCGCCAUCCCAAUCUUUAUCAAUAAUGGUGGCCCCAAACUUCCUAUUUCAGCCAUAGGGGACAUUUCGAAAGGAGCCACUACAAAAAGGGAGAUUUCACUAGAUUACCACCGUCUUUAGGGAGAUCGGUACUCGGUCGUCGUCAAUAUUCAAGGAGAUCCGAAAUAGGUAUUUUAAUUAGUUAAGUUCUUCAUUUUUCCCCCCUGAAUUAGAUCAAUCUCUCUCUCUCGGCAAAUCUUGGUUGCUCAUAGCCGAUUCUUCGCGGUUAAGCUUUCCGAUCGAUGGUCGAAGCAGCAGCGAACUUCUAACCCCUACAUUGUCGAGAUUGUUGACUGUGAUGAUGUUGAAGUUUGCAUUGAGGCUCUAAGUUUGAUGUAUUGUAAGGAUUUGAGGAAGAAGCUCAUGAAAGAAGAUGUCACUAGAGUACUUGGAAUCUUGAAGAUCUUCCUAUGGAUCAAACUGCUACAAACAUGGCUUCUACCCAUUGUCUCUCUUCCUAUUCAAACCACUUGUUUCGUAGCUUCGAGCAUUUUCAGGUUUAUAAUCGGUAUCUUCUCUCUAUUCUCAUUCAUUAGAUUGAACAAUAUUAAAACUGUACAUGACAAUUCACUUCUAGUGGAAGAGACUAUAAGAGAACCAAAUGUGCAUGUUGAUGAAGAUAGAAGAUUGGAGGAGUAUGUGUUCUGAUUGCAAUUUCAAUUCAGACACUCAAGAUUUGGAUAUGACUAAGGAUUCAUCAUCAAAUAUAUUUACUUUUAUUUUACCUCAUCAAUUGCCUUUAUCCACCUUUAAAUACUGUGAUUAAUGUUCUCAUAUUACUCAACAGGUGCCCAAGUUAGAAAAUAAUUCCUGCUUUUAUUUUCUCAAUAUCUUUAUGUUACUCUUGGAUAAUUCAUUGGAUUCUACUUAAAGUCUCAUAUUCCAAUUGCUUGAGGAUUUCUGUCAAGUUUUGUUACUUGAUUUAUCAAAUAUUUGGACAUUGCGGCUUUUGUGCUGCAAAAUGAAGCUGCAAGUAAUUGGAAUUAAGGCUUUCUUUCUUUUUCUUUUUCAGUUGUACUGAAAAAUUAAGAUUCUCUUUGGUUUUGAUUUUUCAACAUCUUUUGGGAUUCAAAACUUUCCAAAUUAAAAGGACCCCAUAUCUUCAACAAGUUGUUACCAGUACAUAGUGCAACUGCAAUAGUUGUAAGGCUCACUAACUUUUCAAAUGUUGUGUGGUUUAUAAGAAAAUUGCUUUUGAGUUGUAUGUAUGUGUGUCAGAAAGAAUGAAGAAAGUCUAGUAUAUAUUUUUGAACAACUUGUUCAAUUUUGUUUUUACCAUUCCUUUUCAUAUGCAUCAUUUUUGUAUUGCUACUCAUCAUCAUUGCAUUGUCAGCAUUGAAUUAAAUUUUUCCCCCCUUUUUCCCUCCAAGUAUCCAAUUCCAAUGAAGAAAGAAACACGAGGAAGUACAGAUCGGUAUAUAGGUAGCUAGCUGAAGUCUCAACCUUGUGAUAAGGUUAUUUUGGCUACGAAAGUGUGUGGAUAUUCAGAGCAAUCAAGUUAUAUACGUAACAAUGCAAAGAUUUUGCGGGUUGAUGCUGCUAAUAUUAAAGAAAGUGUAUAGAAAAGCCUUAAGCGCCUCAACACUGAGUACAUUGAUCUAUUGCAAAUACAUUGGAGGAACACAAAUUUAAGCAAGCUCAGAAAAUUAGAAAUCCAACAGACUUAAAAAGAUCCUAGAUGCUAGCAAGAGCAAAACAAAAUGUGAAGGUGGCGAUGAAAUUGACACCCAGGGUCAAGAUACUAAUGAACCAGCUAAGAAGAGUCGAGGGGGUUGUGGUGCUCAACAACCUAAGCUCACUAUUGAAGGUAUGAAAAUGAUUGCUGAAUACAAGCUUCAGAAGAAGAAAAAUGAUGACCCAGAACAGCUUCCUGAACCUGUUGAAAGGAAACAACAGCUCUCUGCUGAAAGGGUAGCUUCAAUGAAGAAAUGUUUCUAGCUAUGUAUUUUUUAUGUUUUGUUCUUGUCAAUUUCUAGCUGAUCAAGACUUACAAAGCGAGCAUUAUAUGACAUUUUUACAGGUUUUAAAUGUCCUGAAGCGUAUAAGUGAUGAAGACUGCAAGUUAUUGGGCUUGAAUCCUAAGUAUGCCUGUCCAGAUUGGAUGAAAUUGCAAUAGGAUGUCAUUGUGGUAUGAGCAUACUACAGGAAGAGCUGAAGAACUGUUCCAAUAGCCUCAUACCUUGUUAUUUUCUUUGAUUUCUUUGUUCUUUUAAUUUUUGGUGAGAGCAAAGUGUAGUUUAAGAUUGAAUUUUUAGUGAUUGUUUUUGCCAAAUCACAGAUUGUACGUACUAUUGCUCUUGUAUACAUGUUAAAUUCUCAAGUUUUAUUCUUAGUUAAAUUCUUUGGCUAUGUUGAAUGAA